rnacentral:rRNA from 1 species
CAGUCGAACGAUGAACCACUUCGGUGGGGAUUAGUGGCGAACGGGUGAGUAACACGUGGGCAAUCUGCCCUUCACUCUGGGACAAGCCCUGGAAACGGGGUCUAAUACCGGAUACUGACCCUCGCAGGCAUCUGCGAGGUUCGAAAGCUCCGGCGGUGAAGGAUGAGCCCGCGGCCUAUCAGCUUGUUGGUGAGGUAAUGGCUCACCAAGGCGACGACGGGUAGCCGGCCUGAGAGGGCGACCGGCCACACUGGGACUGAGACACGGCCCAGACUCCUACGGGAGGCAGCAGUGGGGAAUAUUGCACAAUGGGCGAAAGCCUGAUGCAGCGACGCCGCGUGAGGGAUGACGGCCUUCGGGUUGUAAACCUCUUUCAGCAGGGAAGAAGCGAAAGUGACGGUACCUGCAGAAGAAGCGCCGGCUAACUACGUGCCAGCAGCCGCGGUAAUACGUAGGGCGCAAGCGUUGUCCGGAAUUAUUGGGCGUAAAGAGCUCGUAGGCGGCUUGUCACGUCGGUUGUGAAAGCCCGGGGCUUAACCCCGGGUCUGCAGUCGAUACGGGCAGGCUAGAGUUCGGUAGGGGAGAUCGGAAUUCCUGGUGUAGCGGUGAAAUGCGCAGAUAUCAGGAGGAACACCGGUGGCGAAGGCGGAUCUCUGGGCCGAUACUGACGCUGAGGAGCGAAAGCGUGGGGAGCGAACAGGAUUAGAUACCCUGGUAGUCCACGCC